rnacentral:rRNA from 1 species
AGGGCACCACCAGAAGUGGAGCCUGCGGCUUAAUUUGACUCAACACGGGAAAACUCACCCGGCCCGGACACUGGAAGGAUUGACAGAUUGAGAGCUCUUUCUUGAUUCAGUGGGUGGUGGUGCAUGGCCGUUCUUAGUUGGUGGAGUGAUUUGUCUGGUUAAUUCCGAUAACGAGCGAGACUCUAUCCUACUAAAUAUGUGGUCAAGUUUACAAACACUUGAUCUCACUUCUUAGAGGGACAGGCGGUGAUUCAACCGCACGAAACAAGGCAAUAACAGGUCUGUGAUGCCCUUAGAUGUCCGGGGCCGCACGCGCGCUACACUGAAGUGAUCAGCGUGCUUUGCUAUGGCUACUCUGACAAGAGUGGGAAACCCCAUGAACCUUCUUCGUGAUUGGGAUAGGAGAUUGUAAUUAUUCUCCUUGAACGAGGAAUUCCCAGUAAGCGCGAGUCAUAUUGUCGCGUUGAUUACGUCCCUGCCCUUUGUACACACCGCCCGUCGCUACUACCGAUUGAAUGU